UCCUAGUAUUGCAUUAUUACUCAUUGAUGAGUAUGUUGGUGAUAUAUUAGGUGAAUUUUGGGCUAUAUUUGAGGAAUUAUCUAUUCCUUGUAAAUUGGUUCUAAAUGUUAUUGGGAUGAAAAAGGCAGAAUCUAGUAGUUUUAAAAUCUGUUGUUUGUGUUUCGAGGUUCGGUUCUUCUUCUAUAUUUAACUUUCUAAAGGAUGUACUGAUACUUUCGGUAAACAGGCCAAUUUACCCGUUUCCACAUCAAAGCCCAAAAUAAUAAAUAAAUAAAUAAAUAAACCUAAUAAUAAAAAGUCCAAUUACAGUCUAAAAAUUUAAUGCCCAAGUGGCCCAAAAUCAAAAUAGUUUCAGAAACCCUAGGUUUUUUAGGUGCGCCGCAGCCUACACCCCAUGUACGGCCUCCGUGCGCCCAAAGCCUGGCUCCGUACCCUCCGUGCCGCCACGCGCACCUCCGUACGCCUCACACCAAGUGCCAGCACACGUCCCGUACCCCGUACCUGCAAGCGAACAAGAGAACGACAGCAAAAAGCAAGAAAAAUAUUGUAUUUCUAUAUUUAUUUUUCUUUUAGUUUUCGGCUAUAAAGCCAAGAACACUGCCAUUGUAUUUUUUUUUACGCACACAGGACAGAGAAAAAGAAAUCAAAAACAGUAAAGAUGAUUUCAAGCUUCUUUGUUCCUUCUCUUUCGAUUUAUUUUCCUUUUCGUUGGCUCGAUUUCCUCUUUUAGUAUGUGAAUCGACACUGAUGAAUACCCAAAUAUCUCGAAAAUAUAGAGAUUCGGGCGAGGGUCGAAUGUUUGUUUCUUUUGAAUUUCUGCUUUGUUUUUAAAGAGAUUAACGCUUGAUUUGAGUUUUUUUUUUAAGAAGAAAAGGAGAGGGAUUAAUUUACCUAAUUUCCAUGGGUGAUCUUUGUGGGCAAGAUCGGAUCUUUGCUCGUGCACCUUCGACCAUCAAAUUGAAUGGUGGGUUCAGCGGCUGCAAAAGGAGGCUCUAGCAGGUUGAUUUUAGGUUGUAAAUAUUUGUUAAAAGGUUGGCUGCAAAGAAAAUGGGAUAAGAGAGCUGCUACUCCGAAACCUUAAUGGUUUGUAGCUUGAAAAAAGGGAAUUACCAUUAAAUGGCUUUUAAUUUUGAAAUAAAUUGAAACGGUGGUGUUUAAGGGUGGAGACCGCGUGUUGAUCCAUGCCCAGACCCAAUUUGUGCAUUUGUAUGUCAAAUGGGAAAUUUCCACGAUUAAUCCCUCACUUUUUGCGCCGCAUUUCAGCAGACCCCCAUUGGCAUCCAUGUGUUUUAUUUUAAUUUUUCGCCCAAAAUUUGUACGCUAUUUCAUUUUAGUUCGCUCCAAGGUGCAGCGUUUUGGGACCUAGAUUAUUUCCAGUUCUAGUCCCUGUACAUUUAUAUGCUUUGCACGUUUUUUAAACUAUUUUAUUUGUAAAUUAUCCUUUUUAUUUUAGGUUUAAUCUUAAUUUAGUCUUUUAUUUGUAUAAUCUGCUAAUUUAAAGUACUCUUAAUAUUUUUGUAUAUGUU
rnacentral:lncRNA from 1 species